rnacentral:lncRNA from 1 species
GGUAUAAAGAACCCUUAAAACACCACACACAAGAAAAAUUAAGUCCACAUACAAGGACUGGAAUAACCCAUUCACAGAAGGAAAAAAUGCUCGGUGAUAAUUAAAACAGCUCUUUCCACCCAUCAGAUUGGCAAAGCUCCAGCUCUCCCCGCCUUCACCAAUGUCGGCCACCGUGUCUGGGAUGCCCCUGGCCGUGUUUUCUCCAAGCUUAAUGCCACAUGUCCUGUAACUGCAAGUCCCGCUUCCAGGAAUCCGUCAGAGGUCCUAAGGAAACCGUCAGAGGACGCAGAGCCGCGUCGCGCGGAAGGUGCUUGCUGCGGGCACAGCCUUUGCAGUGAGUACCAAAGGCCACCACAGUCAGCCAGGGCCUCAGGACCCCCCCCACACUCCUCCACAACUGUAAAGGUGAUGCCGAGGAAAGCCCAGGCGUGGGAACGACACAAGUGAUUCCCUUUCAAGUGGGAAGAAAGUGACUUCUUUCUUUAAAGUCCACGUGUGCUGUGAAAGGCCCUGAAGGUCAUGCAGGUCGAACCAGACCCUAGGGCUGGGGCUGGGUCCAGGGCAGUGACCCUCUCCUUCCCUCUUUCCUGCUCCCACCAGCCCCGAUUCCUGUCGCCUGCAACAUCCCCCUAGGGCUCAGCACCUGGCCUUGCAGCCCUCUCCUGGCCUCCCGCAGGGGCCUCCCUUCCCUCCGGCUGGAACAGGUCAGGACUCUCCAGCUGAAGCCUAGAGAGCUACGGCUCCUCCCUCUCCUAGCACACCCUGCCCAUGGCCUCCAGCUCUAGGUCACCCACUUCCCUCCUGCCCUACCCCUUCCCCAGGCCUCUCGCAGGUGCUUCCCAUCCUGGAGGCUGGGGCUCCAGACAACCAGGUGUCCCCUCCCUGGAUGGGGAGCUACUGGAAAGCAAGGCCAGAUCCUAGCUCAGGAAGAGGCUGGGGCUCCAGACAACCAGGCGUCCCCUCCCUAUACACUGCUCCUGUACAUGCCCACCUGGCCCCCAUGGUGGCAGCCAAGACCGAGGGCCUUGUGGGCAGCUCUGCCCCAGGAGCCCAAAAUAUUAUCCUUGUUGUCUGGGCACUGGACCGUUUUAAAGUCAAUGAUGGACGCCGCAGCAAGAAGCCCAACCCCAGGUCUCAUGAACCGCCUGGGCCGGCCCAGCAGGUGGCGCUGCGCCGCCUGCACUCACCUGGGAUGCGCGAGGCCCUCCCUGACCCGCAGAUCCCCCCGGGCCUCCCCCAUCCAGUCCCAGCUCCAGCGCCUAGCACGCAGCGGGAACUCAGUCAACCUGCGUGUGCUAAGGCGGUGCACAGGCAAGGCCCUGCGCAGUUACCUGCGAUGCGAAUGACCGCCCGCUCCGCAGGGUCCAGCACACUCCCGUUGCUCCCAGCGCCACCCCCGCUGCGCCGGCUCCGCUGCGUUUUCCCAAGGUUCCAGGGCAGUGUGUCCCCGGGGCUGGGCGAGCCACUGCUUCCAUUGGAGACAUCUUCGGGGACUGCCCGGACCUCAGCGUCCUCACCCGACAUGGCCUCCUGG